GACGAACGCUGGCGGCGUGCUUAACACAUGCAAGUCGAGCGGUAAGGCCCUUUCGGGGGUACACGAGCGGCGAACGGGUGAGUAACACGUGGGUGACCUGCCCGUCAGCUCUGGGAGUAAGCCCUGGGAAAACCGGGUCUAAUACUGGAUAUGACUCCAUGACGCAUGUUGUGGGGUGGAAGCCUUGUGCGGCUGAGGAUGGGCCCGCGGCCUAUCAGCUUGUUGGUGGGGUGAUGGCCUACCAAGGCGACGACGGGUAGCCGGCCUGAGAGGCGACGGCCACACUGGGACUGAGACACGGCCC
rnacentral:rRNA from 1 species